UUUGUAGCAGGGUGACUGAAUUCGUUAGUGAGGAUUUCAUUCACCUGUGCUUAAUUUAAGCCCCCGCCCCUUUCUUGGUUGAUAUAAGGGAUGUGUGUUUGUCAUAUGGCAUGCGUCUUGGUAUCGGCCUUGUGACGUCAUCCGUGGUUGCCGCAGGCUUGGACUGUAAGCUGGCUUCCUCGUCUGCUGUGUGUUGGCUGCCCACGCCACACAGCAUGUCAUUGACAGCAUGGUGUUCAUUACUGAACUGUUGCACUGCAAGAUGAUGCGCGACUGCAAAGCGGUUUGUGCGGCGGGAUCAUUCUGCGGACUUCCCUGCAUAACUGAGAGCCUUUGGGCUAUUCGCGAGAGCGUGCCAAUGCUGAACUGUGACCGUGUAUAAUUGCGACUGCGUCGCUGUUUUGCCUCGACGUUCAUCCCCAUAGCAACCGUUGUGACUCGACUGCACGUUGCUAUCGGGUAUUGUGCCCGCUAUUCCUCUGACUGUGCAAACUGGUUGGGUGUUUCAUCUGGCCCCAGUCUAUUUAAUUCCAUUGGUUUGAAGCCCUUCGUAUGUAUGUUUAAUUGGUUUAAUGUCAAUUUGUUUUGUGGUAUUGGGUCCUAAUUAUGUAAAGUGGUUAGACCCUUGAAUUAUUUGAUUUGUUUAAUUUUUUGAUUGUAUUCAUGUUUUGUGUGCUCAAUUUUUGUCUUGUUACAGGAGCUAGGGGUUUCUGGAGGAUGCAAGCAGCGCCGCCAUUGGUGUGGUGUAUUCACACUUAGUGCUGUGUGUCUUCUAGCAUUUUAACCCUUCACGUGUGGGUAUUUGUAGUGGAUUAUUUGGGAGAGUUUUCCAAAUUUGGCGGCCGGCCUGGACCUCCAGAUACCUCUGCUCUUGAGUUUCUUAAAAUUGAGAAUUGUUGUGUGUGUUUGUGUCUUGAGUAGCUUCUUAUUGAUGUUGUUGAUCAUGUUUAUAAUGCCAGUCUAAAUUUUAAAGGGAAAUUUCCAACUAUUUAUUGAAAACUGACGAAUAAAGCUUUUCUACUUUUUCUAUACCUGCCUCAUGUCCUCUCACCCACCCACUCAGAACGAACCUGUGUGCCCUUAGGGCUAUUUCCCUGGGUUUCCAGGGUGGCGUAGUCGAUCGUAUAUUGUCAUCUGGUAAAAGUGUGGUAAAUCUUAAUCAAUUCUAGUACCCACUCGGUGCCGUACUGCUACAAACUGGCGUAGUCGGCAGGAUUGUUUCUUUUCUUGGGUGUAUUGGGUGAAGACAUGGGUAUGUAUAUUUGGAGAAAGGAAAAGAGAAUGUUUGCAUAAUUCUGUGUUUGUUGGAAUUUUUUUUUAUUAUUGAGGCAAAGCAGCGGCGUAGUUGGUGUGAAUCGGGUUUCCCCUGUCAGUUGGGUUCCCUCUAUGAUUGGUGAGUUGAGUGUAUUUAUUAUGGGGGGGGAACACGGGAAGAAAUUCAGUACUGUUUUAUGGGUAAAAAAAAAAAAAGGGGGUACCCGGAUAAUUAUUUUUUAUCGUAUAGCCGUCAAGGCAGAGAACCUUGUGUAUCACUUGUUUCUCGUUGUACAGCCAUCAUGACAAUAGCACUUGUAACCAGUGUUUCUUUUUAUUGUAUAGCCGUCAAGGCAGAGAACCUUGUGUAUCACUUG